UACGGAGGGGGCUAGCGUUGUUCGGAAUUACUGGGCGUAAAGCGCACGUAGGCGGCUUUGCAAGUCAGAGGUGAAAGCCCGGGGCUCAACCCCGGAAUUGCCUUUGAGACUGCAUCGCUAGAAUCGUGGAGAGGUAAGUGGAAUUCCGAGUGUAGAGGUGAAAUUCGUAGAUAUUCGGAAGAACACCAGUGGCGAAGGCGACUUACUGGACACAUAUUGACGCUGAGGUGCGAAAGCGUGGGGAGCAAACAGG
rnacentral:rRNA from 1 species